GACGAACGCUGGCGGCGUGCUUAACACAUGCAAGUCGAACGCUGAAGCUCAGCUUUUGUUGGGUGGAUGAGUGGCGAACGGGUGAGUAACACGUGAGUAACCUGCCUCCUUCUUUGGGAUAACGCCCGGAAACGGGUGCUAAUACUGGAUAUUCACUGGUCUUCGCAUGGGGGUUGGUGGAAAGGGUUUUUCUGGUGGGGGAUGGGCUCGCGGCCUAUCAGCUUGUUGGUGGGGUGAUGGCCUACCAAGGCUUUGACGGGUAGCCGGCCUGAGAGGGUGACCGGUCACAUUGGGACUGAGAUACGGCCCAGACUCCUACGGGAGGCAGCAGUGGGGAAUAUUGCACAAUGGGCGCAAGCCUGAUGCAGCGACGCCGCGUGAGGGAUGAAGGCCUUCGGGUUGUGAACCUCUUUCGCUCAUGGUCAAGCCGCAACAAUGGUUGUGGUGAGGGUAGUGGGUAAAGAAGCGCCGGCUAACUACGUG
rnacentral:rRNA from 1 species